UUUGUCUGUCUGUGUCUGUUAGGACAGAAGUGAAGUAAGCGUGGGGCAGCAUAACAGCCAUCUACGGUCACACGGAAGUCAAAAUGGGAAACAGACAGACAAAAAGGAGGAGGUGUUUCAGUGGUGGGGGGAGUGGUCUACGUGGUCCUCCUGUUCCAGGAGCUGUGGAGGAGGAGUGAGGAGCCAGGAGAGACACUGUCUCAUGCAGAGAGCUGUUCCCACACAAACAGCAGCACGAGCAAGAGUCGCCCACAGACCGUGUGACUCACAGACUGGAUUCUAACACAAAUACAACUGAACAAGUUGAAGUUCUCUGUAUAUUAGAAGUUCAUGUACCAACCUUUGUUAUGUCCUCGGUCAUGUAACCCAG
rnacentral:lncRNA from 1 species